rnacentral:ncRNA from 1 species
AUAAAGGCAUAGAAAGAGUUAGUACAUGCGUGAAAAAUCGUUCAAAGGGAAGAAGCAUCAAAGACUGGAAGUGCUUCUAACGAUCACAAAUGGAAUUUCACUCUGGAGCUGACAUCAGGACCUUGUACAAAGCAAGUAAAGGUGUUCCGGUUUAUACCGUUAUCUUAUAUCUUGAGUGGAUAUAGCCAAGAGCUAUUUCAACAAGGGUGGUACCGCGAUACAUACAGUCUCGUCCCUUUU